CCGAAGUUGAUCCGAUAAGCAAUUUUUGUUGGCGCAAUCUUCUUUCGCUGGCCGGGAACAUACUGGCCAUGAAUCGGCGAAAUCUGUAUUAUUACAAUCUGGCAACGUUUAAUUAUAAUUUACGCCUCUCUUCAUCUCUCCUCCCUUCUUCUUCUUCUCGCUGUCAGUUCCCUCGCCAUUUUAUCGUCUGCUGAAGCGUGAUUUGCAUGAGCAGCGUGUAGUUUCUGUUCUCUGACAGACUUGCUUAUUCCCAUUCUUGUGGUCAGUUACGAUAAUUUAGUGAUAUUUCCGUCAUUUAUAUCAGUUGAAGUCCUUCGUGACAUGAUUUGAUUGUGAGGCAUUGUAACUGUAAGGCAUCGUGAUUCAUGCUCUUUCCUUCAAGUCAUUGGUGGGUUGUCAUCUUGUACGAGUGAUUAUCACCCUCUAUUCUUUGUACAUGAGUAUCCUGUUAUUCCCAGGAACCAAAAUAUACACAAGUCCAUUACUGACUUUCUAGUCGGUACAGUCAGCUGCUUACAACAGCUGAUGCACCCACUCAUUUCCAGGUUCUCGUCUAGUGAGAACAUUUGGUCCUUCG